rnacentral:rRNA from 1 species
AACGAACGCUGGCGGCAUGCCUAACACAUGCAAGUCGAACGAGACCUUCGGGUCUAUUGUCGCACGGGUGCGUAACGCGUGGGAACCUGCCCUUAGGUUCGGAAUACCUCCCCGAAUGGGGUGCUAAUACCGGAUAAUGUCUUCUGACCAAAGAUUUAUCGCCUUUGGAUGGGCCCACGUUGGAUUAGCUAGUUGGUAGGGUAAAAGCCCACAAAGGCGACGAUCCAUAGCUGGUCGGAGAGGAUGAUCAGCCACACUGGGAGUGGGACCAGGCCCAGACUCCGCGGAAAGGCAGAAGGGGGGAAGAAGGGACACUGGGCGAAAGACGAAGCCAGCAGGGCCGCGAGAGUGAUGAAGGCGGUAGGGAGGUAAAGCUCUUUUACCCGGGAUGAUAAUAACGGAACCGGGAAAAUAAGCUCCGGUUAACACGGU